CAAAGUUUCUCCUUUGUAUAAUACGAAACUUUAAUUGGCAGGAAAAAAUCAAAACAAAUAAUACGAUUCGACGCAAUUCGAAAACAGACUCCGCUCCUCGAUGCUUUCUUCUUCAGUUUCCUCCUUGACGCUCGCGAUGAACGGUCUCUCGCCGCGAAAAUGGCCCGUAUCUCUCCAAUUUUCGCGUUAAUCCUGGGCGUCGUUUUCUCGAGAGACGUUUCCCCGUGUUCAUCUUCUCGUCGUUUCUUUGUUUCGUAUCGUCCAUUAACCGCGACUCGAGGCUCGUGCCGCGUCGACCGCACCAGGAAACGAAGACGAGUUACGCCAUUACAGUUUCGAGAUUACAGUGCGUACGAACCCUUUCGCUAAUAAGAGCAACGCGAAACUGGCGAGGCGAGGGGAGGAAGGGUGAAGGGAGGACCGGAGAGAAUUAUAAAAUCCGAGCAAACAACCACAAAAACCGCAGCGUUGCGCCGCUCUAGGUUCAAGUAGCAAGUUCAGUGGCCUUGAUAGGCGUUUGUUGCCUCAAACGCGCCUCUCCGCAACUCCAGUUAAUGCGAGAUCUUUAUGGACGACUAUCCUUACACGGCAACUACAUCGAUGGAUAUAUCAUAGUCAUCGUUGAUGCACAACGAGCGUUUAAUAUUAGAUGACUUAGAUAAUCGUACAGAAUUUAACGCUGAGUAACUAUAAUCAUCAUUGGCAUGCAGCAAGCACUCAACGCUGAAAGAAUUAACGAACGCUCUGUAUCCUCGAAUGGAAGAGGAAUAGAAAUAUGUAAUAAAAAAUAUAUCUUUUUCGAGGAUUGACAAAGAGUAGAUAUCAAUUGGUCGAAGAUCCUCGACCAUAGCUCAGGGAAAUUUAUUGGCGCAAGUACACUUCGGGGAAGUCGAUGAAAAUGAAAUCUCUCGAAGUACGAAGAAGAAGUAUCGUACCGGAGGAUAGUCGAAAGGUGGUAUGGAAGACACGUCGCUGAAAGGAGGCUAAGCGCCAUCGGCCGCGAAUUUGUUGUCGAUCGGUCUUGCGAUCGAGAAAAAAGCCGCUAGAUCGGUUCUCGCCAAGUCUUGUGACACGCACACGCGCCUCUCGGCCUUAAUACCGUCGACGUUUUAUUCGAUGCGUCCUCUGACGAAAUCGACCACAUAGCAUUCUUCGUUUUCUUCUCGACGUUCCAUCUCUUCGUUAUUUAUCGUGAAAAACCGAGUCCGGUCUCGUUUCUCACGUUCAAGAUAAUUCCAUGGAUUGCCCCUGUUUUACAAUUGGAACGACCUAUUCCACCAUAUAUUCUAAGUUCGUGUGCGUCCACUGACGUGAAUAGAAUCGGUCGUAAAUCGAAACAUUGUAUACAGUGAGACUGAAAUUGUAUUUUAAAUCAAGAAUAAACAUUAUUUAAAUGCCUAAAAA